rnacentral:rRNA from 1 species
AACGAACGCUGGCGGCAGGCUUAACACAUGCAAGUCGAGCGCCCCGCAAGGGGAGCGGCAGACGGGUGAGUAACGCGUGGGAAUCUACCCAUCACUACGGAACAACUCCGGGAAACUGGAGCUAAUACCGUAUACGUCCUUCGGGAGAAAGAUUUAUCGGUGAUGGAUGAGCCCGCGUUGGAUUAGCUAGUUGGUGGGGUAAUGGCCUACCAAGGCGACGAUCCAUAGCUGGUCUGAGAGGAUGAUCAGCCACACUGGGACUGAGACACGGCCCAGACUCCUACGGGAGGCAGCAGUGGGGAAUAUUGGACAAUGGGCGAAAGCCUGAUCCAGCCAUGCCGCGUGAGUGAUGACGGCCCUAGGGUUGUAAAGCUCUUUCGCAGGUGAAGAUAAUGACGGUAACCUGAGAAGAAGCCCCGGCUAACUUCGUGCCAGCCGCCGCGGUAAUAC